rnacentral:lncRNA from 1 species
UGAAGAUUAGUGUGGGGUGUGAUUUGUUUUAGGCCUAGUUAUGAUUUGGCAUGUUGUGGUCUAGAUUAUUUGUCAUUGAGAUCUUGUUUAUUAAUAGCUUUGUGACAUAGAUUAUUUGUCUUUCUUGGAAGUAGGUUCACACACAUUCGCUCGGUUUUAACCUCUCUCUUCUGGACUGGGAGCAUAAUUCACCCUUGUGUUUAUACUUAUAGAGGCAUGUUGUUUGGUCGGCUAUCUCUUUAAGAUUUGUUGGUGCCUUAUUUGUAUUC